GUCCGUGUGUUGUGACCCGAUAUCGUUCACUUUCAUUAAAUAUGUCUUAGAUCUGAAAUAUUUUUACGGGAACUAACACUUUCGAUUUUCGAACACGCUGAGUUCAAAUCCGAAAAGUUCCCACCCCGUAGACCUGCAGUUUUCUCACAAAAUGCAAUUUUAUCUUCAAUAAUUUCACGACAAAGUUUUCAUUGUUCAACGACACGGAUCGAUGACAAUACACGAUUAUGUCACUCAAAAGGACCAAUUUCUAUUAACCAAUUUUCCUUUUAACAAAAGACCGGUUUUGCUCGAAUCAUUUUGAGUUAUGCAAUCUUAUGCGUGUUGGACGUAAACAACAUGUCUUGUCUACAACUUUGAGAAAGUACAGAUAACGCUUUCUAAAAUCCUCAGUUCUAGAGAUAUCUCCAUAAAAUCACAAGGACAUUAACGCGAAGUC